rnacentral:rRNA from 1 species
GACGAACGCUGGCGGCGUGCCUAAUACAUGCAAGUCGAACGCAGCGGGGGCGGGUGCGUAACACGUGGAUAACCUCCUAUAAGACUCGGAUAACUUCGGGAAACCGGAGCUAAACCGGAUACUUAUGUGUGGCUCCGCGCUGCAUUAGCUAGUUGGUAAGUUAACGGCUUAACAAGGCAACGAUGCAUAGCCGACCUGAGAGGGGGAUCGGCAACACUGGAACUGAGACACGGCCCAGACUCCUACGGGAGGCAGCAGUAGGGAAUCUUCGGCAAUGGGCGAAAGCCUGACGGAGCAACGCCGCGUGAGUGAUGAAGGUCUUCGGAUCGUAAAACUCUGUUAUUAGGGAAGCGGUACCUAAUCAGAAAGCCACGGCUAACUACGUGCCAGCAGCCGCGGUAAUUC